UAACACGUGGAUAACCUGCCUCAAGGCUGGGGAUAACAUUUGGAAACAGAUGCUAAUACCGAAUAAAACUUAGUAUCGCAUGAUACAAAGUUGAAAGGCGCUACGGCGUCACCUAGAGAUGGGUCCGCGGUGCAUUAGUUAGUUGGUGGGGUAAAGGCCUACCAAGACAAUGAUGCAUAGCCGAGUUGAGAGACUGAUCGGCCACAUUGGGACUGAGACACGGCCCAAACUCCUACGGGAGGCUGCAGUAGGGAAUCUUCCACAAUGGGCGAAAGCCUGAUGGAGCAACGCCGCGUGUGUGAUGAAGGCUUUAGGGUCGUAAAGCACUGUUGUAUGGGAAGAAAUGCUAGAAUAGGGAAUGAUUCUAGUUCGACGGUACCAUACCAGAAAGGGACGGCUAAAUACGUGCCAGCAGCCGCGGUAAUACGUAUGUCCCGAGCGUUAUCCGGAUUUAUUGGGCGUAAAGCGAGCGCAGACGGUUGAUUAAGUCUGAUGUGAAAGCCCGGAGCUCAACUCCGGAAUGGCAUUGGAAACUGGUUAACUUGAGUGUUGUAGAGGUAAGUGGAACUCCAUGUGUAGCGGUGGAAUGCGUAGAUAUAUGGAAGAACACCAGUGGCGAAGGCGGCUUACUGGACAACAACUGACGUUGAGGCUCGAAAGUGUGGGUAGCAAACAGGAUUAGAUACCCUGGUAGUCCACACCGUAAACGAUGAAUACUAGGUGUUAGGAGGUUUCCGCCUCUUAGUGCCGAAGCUAACGCAUUAAGUAUUCCGCCUGGGGAGUACGACCGCAAGGUUGAAACUCAAAGGAAUUGACGGGGACCCGCACAAGCGGUGGAGCAUGUGGUUUAAUUCGAAGCAACGCGAAGAACCUUACCAGGUCUUGACAUCCUUUGAAGCUUCUAGAGAUAGAAGUGUUCUCUUCGGAGACAAGUGACAGGUGGUGCAUGGUCGUCGUCAGCUCGUGUCGUGAGAUGUUGGGUUAAGUCCCGCAACGAGCGCA
rnacentral:rRNA from 1 species